rnacentral:rRNA from 1 species
UACGUAGGAUGCAAGCGUUGUCCGGAAUUAUUGGGCGUAAAGAGCGCUCCGGCGGUAUGACAAGUCAGAUGUGAAAGAGGCCGGCUUAACCGGCAAGGGUCAUUUGAAACUGUCAGACUAGAGUGCAGCAGAGGAUAGUGGAAUUCCCGGUGUAGUGGUGAAAUGCGUAGAUAUCGGGAGGAACACCAGUGGCGAAGGCGACUAUCUGGGCUGCAACUGACGCUGAGGCGCGAAGGCUAGGGUAGCAAACAGG